rnacentral:lncRNA from 1 species
CAUCCACUCCAGAACCCCCACAGGACCCCAGCAUCCUUCCAAGCCCUGAGGAGGUGCCAGGAACAGGGCCACUCCCUGAGGAUUUCCCAACAGUGCUGUCCUCUGGGUAGAGGGUGAGGUCACUGUGCUGGCCUGGAUGAGCAGAAGCCUGGUCAAGAGAAGUGGGCCUGGAGGUUGAUAAGGAGAGGCUCCCAGCAGGUGCCACCACUGCUUUAUGUGGCGCUGAGGAUCGAACCUGUGACACUCUACCAAAUGAACUCCUCCUCAGGCCCAAUAGUUUUAUUAGACCACAACCACUUCAUUCCUUCCUAGCUUGCUUGUGGCAGCAGUUAUGCAUCUUUCCAAGCAAGGUUUUUGCUCUCUGACCCUUUACAGAAAGAAAAAAAAAAGAGCUGAUUCUUGGUUUUACUUCAUCAACAAAACAAAGCUUUCUCUGUAAUCCCCAUAUUCAGGAGGCUGAAAGUUCAAAGCCAGCCUGGGCUACACAGUCAGCUCUGUCUCAAAACAAAACAAGGUAGUGGAAUGUAAACAAAAAUCCCAGCACUCUGGAGGUGGAGGUGGAGGCAAUAUAAUCAGAAUUCAAGGUCAUCCUGAGAUAUCUAAAUUCAAGGCCAGCCUGGACUACAUAAGAUGGAAGUCUCAGAAUACCACCCUGAACCAAGGAGAACCAAAGCAAAGCAGCCCCCUUUUAUAUUUUAUUUUGUUUUUAGGUGUGUGUGUGUGUGUGCUUAUAUGUCACACAUUUGUAUUGUGUGCAGUGCCCACAGAUGUCAGAGUGGGGUGCAACCCCUGGAACUGGAGUUAUAGGUAGUUGGGAGCCACCCUAAGUGGGUGCUGGGAACACAACCAUAAGAGCAGCAAGGGCUCUUAACCACAGAGCCAUCUCUCCAGCCCAGCUAAUGUUCUUAAUGAAAAACAAACAAAGCACCCUCCCCACUUUACUCUAAUAUGGACUGUUUCUGUUCUUUACAGAGAAGGUGCUGAGUCUUGCCUAUGCUUUACCGUGCGCUGAGCUGCACCACCAACCCCAGGCGUGAAACUUUCCUCUUGGUUCCACCUUGAAGUCCAGCCUGAAUGGGAGGAAGUCAGAAAAGUAACAGAGCACCAGAGGUAAACAAUGAGCUGCAAUUCUGAAUGGAGGCUGCCGGCCAGCAGGCUUCGGAGCUGAGGCAGUGU